AGACCCUUCUGGUCAAGGCAGGAGGGCAGAUACAGCAAAUAUCCCAUAGCAUCCUCCUGAACCCCCAAGGUCAAACCCAGAUGGAAGUGGUGCCAAGACAGAACUUUUUGAACAUGGUGCCCAAUACAGAGGCAGAAGUGUUUGUCAGUGUCCAAGGUGACAUCCUUGGCGAGACAAUCCUGGGCACCCUGACACCUGGAGAAAAAUGGCAGCUGCUGAGGGUCCCGACUGGUUGCCCUGAGCAGACGCUGAGCAAAUUGGCACCUGUGAUCAUCAUGACCCGCUAUUUGGAG